UACAGAGGUCUCAAGCGUUGUUCGGAUUCAUUGGGCGUAAAGGGUGCGUAGGCGGCGCGGUAAGUCGGGUGUGAAAUCUCGGAGCUUAACUCCGAAACUGCAUUCGAUACUGCCGUGCUUGAGGACUGGAGAGGAGACUGGAAUUUACGGUGUAGCGGUGAAAUGCGUAGAUAUCGUAAGGAAGACCAGUGGCGAAGGCGGGUCUCUGGGCAUGUCCUGACGCUGAGGAGCGAAAGUGUGGGGAGCGAACAGG
rnacentral:rRNA from 1 species